rnacentral:lncRNA from 1 species
GAACGCCACCAUCAAAUCAAUUCAAGACACGACAACGACCAGGCCUAGGAUGAGGUGAACUUGGUGACGGCCUUGGUGCCCUCGGACACGGCGUGCUUGGCGAGCUCGCCAGGGAGGACGAGGCGGACGGAGGUCUGGAUCUCCCGGGAGGUGAUGGUGGGCUUCUUGUUGUACCUCGCCAGCUUGGCGGACUCCCCGGCGAGCUUCUCGAAGAUGUCGUUGAUGAAGGAGUUCAUGAUGGACAUGGCCUUGGAGGAGAUGCCGAUGUCCGGGUGCACCUGCUUGAGCACCUUGAAGAUGUAGAUCUUGUACGUCUCCACGCUCUUCUUG